AGGGCACCACCAGGAGUGGAGCCUGCGGCUUAAUUUGACUCAACACGGGGAAACUUACCCGGCCUGGACACUGGAAGGAUUGACAGAUUGAGAGCUCUUUCUUGAUUCAGUGGGUGGUGGUGCAUGGCCGUUCUUAGUUGGUGGAGCGAUUUGUCUGGUUAAUUCCGAUAACGAACGAGACUCUAGCCUAUUAAAUAGGCUCUCGGCUUUUAAACGCCGGGAGGACUUCUUAGAGGGACAGGUGGCGGUUCAGCCGCACGAAAGAGAGCAAUAACAGGUCUGUGAUGCCCUUUGUUGUCCGGGGCCGCACGCGCGCUACACUGAGGAGAUCAGCGUGCUUUACGUUCCUGCUCCGACCGGAGUGGGGAACCCAGUGAACCUUCUCCGUGAUUGGGAUAGAAGAUUGUAAUUAUUCUUCUUGAACGAGGAAUUCCCAGUAAAUGCGAGUCAUAAGCUCGCGUUGAUUACGUCCCUGCCCUUUGUACACACCGCCCGUCGCUACUACCGAUUGAACGAUUU
rnacentral:rRNA from 1 species